rnacentral:tRNA from 1 species
GGGGUUGUGGCUCAGAGGUAGAGCACUCGCUUACCAUGCGUGGGGCACUGGGUUCAAUCUUCAGCACCACA